AAGGGCCUAGAUGUCCCCUGAAGCUGACUCAGCAUGUGUCAUUCUUUCCUGUCAGUCUCACCCAGAGACCCAGUGAGAUCUCAGCGUCUCACACAGAAACCCUAUCCCCUCAGGAAUAACUCCUGAGGCUGCUGUUGGCGCCCAAGAGGACAGGACCUUGAAUGGGCCUUGCUGGAAUGGACAUAGGGUGGCCUGGCCCGGCGGACGUUUCCAGAAGGCUCUGCACUCUAACCCCCAGGGCAGGAGCUGGCACGGAGACCCCUGAGCCCACUUCUGAGAAGCUGGGAGAUGCCAGGAGAGGCGGGCCUGCUGACCCCUGCAGCCCAGCGACUUCUGAAUCUAAGUAUCACCUUGGCCAGAGGAGUUGAGAGGAGUUUUGGGGCGACUGUUCUAGGUGAGGGUAGAGAUUGCAAAAGAACCUGAGACCUGAGAGGACUGAGCGAAGCAGGGAGCUCUUUGGUUGUUCAAGAAGGAAGCGAGCUUUAGUGCCCUGUGUGAGAUGGCUGGUGGGUGCCUAGGGUUAUGGGUUGUUAUGGUUGAUACACUGUGUCAACUUAAGGAGUCUAG
rnacentral:lncRNA from 1 species